rnacentral:lncRNA from 1 species
AUUUCUUACUGCUCUUUGGAGCAGCUUGUCUUCACUGGGCAAUACAACUGACGGCUUCAUGCAAACAGUCUAGAAAGUGGUAGAUCAGUUCAUUAACCCAUUUACAAACCUAAUACAUUACACAGGGAACUGAACAAAACUUGGCAGCUCUGCCUAUAUCCCCUUUGCACCUGAGGAACUGCUGAGUGACAAAGUAACCUUCACUCUGCCCUUAGCAGGAUACAGAGGGCCCUCACCAGAAUCUGCAGCACAAGCCUUGCUUGGGUUAAAAGAUUCAUCGCCCUUCCUGACUCUGCUUCACCCCAGUGUUUGAGAGCAGUGGUGGGGGACAGCGAGGGAAAAAGGAAGACAUUAAUACACAACGAGAAGCUGAAAGCAAAAGGCCAGCCCGUGCUGCAUGUUCCCACUUCUCGGCAACUUGCAGAUGGUGGAGCUGAACAUGGCAUAUCUUUGUCCAUCCUGGAGAUGCAGGCAUUGAAUAGUCCUUCUGGAUAUGCAGUGUCACUGGAAAUUAAGAUGGGAGAACCUUUCACGAAAAGUAUCAAAAACAGCCACAGCAGAAGAAAAAAAAUUUAA